AGCGGCGGACGGGUUAGUAACGCGUGGGAAUAUGCCCAAAGGUACGGAAUAGCCUCUGGAAACGGAGAGUAAUACCGUAUGUGCCCUUCGGGGGAAAGAUUUAUCGCCUUUGGAUUAGCCCGCGUUGGAUUAGGUAGUUGGUGGGGUAAUGGCCUACCAAGCCUACGAUCCAUAGCUGGUUUGAGAGGAUGAUCAGCAACACUGGGACUGAGACACGGCCCAGACUCCUACGGGAGGCAGCAGUAGGGAAUCUUAGACAAUGGGCGAAAGCCUGAUCUAGCCAUGCCGCGUGAGUGAAGAAGGCCCUAGGGUCGUAAAGCUCUUUCGCCAGGGAUGAUAAUGACAGUACCUGGUAAAGAAACCCCGGCUAACUCCGUGCCAGCAGCCGCGGUAAUACGGAGGGGGUUAGCGUUGUUCGGAAUUACUGGGCGUAAAGCGUACGUAGGCGGAUUAGUCAGUCAGAGGUGAAAUCCCAGGGCUCAACCCUGGAACUGCCUUUGAUACUGCUAGUCUUGAGUUCGAGAGAGGUGAGUGGAAUUCCAAGUGUAGAGGUGAAAUUCGUAGAUAUUUGGAGGAACACCAGUGGCGAACGCGGCUCACUGGCUCGAUACUGACGCUGAGGUACGAAAGUGUGGGGAGCAAACAGGAUUAGAUACCCUGGUAGUCCACACCGA
rnacentral:rRNA from 1 species